GCCAGAGUGGUGUAGAGGUUUGAGCAUUGGACUAGGACUCUGGAGACCAGGGUUCAAAUCCCGGCUUGGCCA